CAGAACGCUGGCGGCAGCUAAGAUUUAAAAGUCGAACGAAGCCUCCGGGCUUAGUGGCGCACGGGUGCGUAACGGGAAUCUGCCUCUUGCUUCGGAAUAACAGUGGGAAACUACUGCUAAUACCGGAUGAUGUCUUCGGACCAAAGAUUUAUCGGCAAGAGAUGAGCCCGCGUAGGAUUAGGUAGUUGGUGGGGUAAAGGCCUACCAAGCCGACGAUCCUUAGCUGGUCUGAGAGGAUGAUCAGCCACACUGGGACUGAGACACGGCCCAGACUCCUACGGGAGGCAGCAGUGGGGAAUAUUGGACAAUGGGGGAAACCCUGAUCCAGCAAUAGCGCGUGAGUGAUGAAGUGCUUAGGGUUGUAAAGCUCUUUUACCAGGGAUGAUAAUGACAGUACCUGGAGAAUAAGCUCCGGCUAACUCCGUGACAGCAGACGAGGUAAUACGGAGGGAGCUAACCGUUGUUCGGGAAAUAACUGGGCGGUAACGCGCAACGUAGGGCGGAUACUCAAGUUCAGACCGUUAAAGCCCCGGAGCAUCACCCCAGGAAAUUGCCAUUUGAAAACUACGGUAAACUAGAAAUUCCUGGCAGAACGUGAGUAGUAAACCGA
rnacentral:rRNA from 1 species